rnacentral:lncRNA from 1 species
GCGGACGGGAGCCCCGGGCGCGCCGGGGCACCUGCCGCGCUGCCUCCCGCAGCCUGCUGGGAGCAGGGCCCUCGGGAUCGGCAGCUUCAGCGAUUAAAAACAGCUCUCCGGGACAAGGAAUAAUCCCCCAGACCCUUUUCCACAAAGGCUGCAAAGCCCCGAAACGCCCGAGAGCGAGAGGGGCGCGAAGCAGGUCUGCGCGGCCCGGGCAAGGGGCCGUUUCCCCUGUCCAACGUGCAAAUACUUGGCGACGACGGCGUGUCUGCGUACUGCCGUAUCCGCCUCCCUCUCCGCGCUCGUCUUUAAGGCAACGAGAAGCAGCACGUUACCGGGCUCCAGCCAGAAAACUGGAUGUUUCCUAGUCAAUAAAAUAAAAAAGAAAUUCCCA